UCAGGCCUAACACAUGCAAGUCGAACGGCAGCACGGGAGCAAUCCUGGUGGCGAGUGGCGAACGGGUGAGUAAUACAUCGGAACGUGCCCAAUCGUGGGGGAUAACGUAGCGAAAGCUACGCUAAUACCGCAUACGAUCUACGGAUGAAAGCGGGGGAUCGCAAGACCUCGCGCGAAUGGAGCGGCCGAUGGCAGAUUAGGUAGUUGGUGGGGUAAAGGCUCACCAAGCCAACGAUCCGUAGCUGGUCUGAGAGGACGACCAGCCACACUGGGACUGAGACACGGCCCAGACUCCUACGGGAGGCAGCAGUGGGGAAUUUUGGACAAUGGACGAAAGUCUGAUCCAGCCAUGGCGCGUGCAGGAAGAAGGCCUUCGGGUUGUAAACUGCAUGGUCAGGGAAGAAAUCCUCUGGGCUAAUAUCCUGGGGGGAUGAC
rnacentral:rRNA from 1 species